ensembl:lncRNA
GGAAGAGAGGGGACUGACCAGCAGAUCUCACCCGUGGGUAAUGAGCCCAGAGAGAUCAGGGAUCAGGAGAGGUCUGCCACAGCAGCAAGGAGGCUUCCCCGGGGAGGCAGUGACAGUGACUGGCUGAGGCUUGAAGAGGAGCUACCUGCCAAGUAGCAAUUUCAAAAUGUAAAAACCAUUCCUAGCUUGCAGGCCACACAAAAACAGGCAGCAAGCCAGACUUGGCCCAAGGGCUAUAGUUCACUGACUCCUACUCUUGAUCUCUGCAAGGUCCCCAAAUCCAAUGUCUACAGUGGACAGGCAGACCAUAAAAUGAGUGAAACAAGCUGGAAUUUGGAAACUGCACAAAACACUCCUGAAGCCAUAGUUCACCUGGGACCAGCCAGAUAAUGACCUCUAGACUAAGUGAUUUCCCAGGAUUCUUUUAGAAUUCUGUUUCUGCCCCUUUAAUGAAUCCGCUGUUUUAUAUGUAGUUGUAGGUGUGUCUCUAGUUUAUUCUUUCAAUAAAUAUUUGAGUACCCACUAUAAGCUGGAAACUGUAGUUGAUUAAAAAAAAAAAAGAACGAGAUGGGGUUUCUACUUUUAGGUGAGCCGAUGGGAGAGCUAAGGGAAAUGCCCCAAUAAAUAAUAAGGCUUCCUGAAUAACUAGACUUCCUGGAAAAUCUAAGGAAAGGCAGAUCUGGUGCAUUAGCAAGACACACAGUCCUUUCAGAGGCUUGGUAUUGUCAUCUGUACAAUGGGAAGAGUAACACCUCCCCGUCAAGCCUGUGCGAAGAUUAGAAUUCUGUGUAUAAAAUGCCUGGUACAUAGUAGAUGCUCAAUAAACAACACUAUCUAGUGCUACUACUUUUAUUAUUACAUUAUAAACUUGAAGUUAGGGUUUGGGUCUGAUUAAAAUCAUGCGAUGGCAAUCCUUAACUUGUAAGCAGCCGGUUGUGUUCCCAAAGUGUAUGCCUCAGAACUUGUUUUCCAGUGGAGAUGGCAUCCGUUUCUUACUUCCCCAAGGCAAGUCCAGAAACGCCUAGGUAAACUACAGGGUGGCCUAAAUAUUGCACAAUUGUGAUUUUUUACAAAAAUCAGAAAACAGCACCGAUGCAAUGCAAAUACAACAGAAGAAGCUCUUUUGCAAUCUUUUUUUUACAAAUGAUCGAAAGGCUUUUCGCUGCUGUGUGUGGCGCUUGAGAUUCUAAGGCAGUUUUGUUUUUUUUCUUUUAGGAAGAUUAGCCCUGAGCUAACAUCUGCCAAUCCUUCUCUUUUUGCUGAGGAAGACUGGCCCUGAGCUGACAUCCAUGCCCAUCUUCCUCUACUUCAUACGUGGGACACCUGCCACAGCAUGGCUUGCCAAGUAGUGCCACGUUCACACCCGCGAUCUGAACCAGUGAACAAUGGGCUGUUGAAGCAGAAUGUGCAAAUCAACCACUGUGCCACCAGGUGGGCCCCAUAAGGCAGAUUUAAUUAGAAGCCCGGGAGCAAGAGUUGCAUACUUGAUGGUUCCGAAGGGGUAUCUAGGGAUGUUUUAAGGGCCUUUAACACAGGUGGUUCUAGGUUUUUUAAUUUGUCUAAUUUUACUUAAAAACUUAUAACUUUCUUGUCCUUGAGCCAAUUAUCUCUAACAUUGUUCUCACACUUACCCUUAGAGUACCAUCGUUAGGCUGAUGACUCUAAAAUUUGCAUCUUUAGGGCACACUGUUAUAUAUUCAGCUCCCAGGUUGGCAUUCGUACUUGGAGAUCGCAUACACAUCUUAGAUUCAACAAGGUCAAAACAGAACUCUUGACCCAAAUCUGCUCCCUCCCAAGGCUGUCCUACAUCAUUAAAUGGCGUUGCCAUAUGCUGGGUGCUCAGGUCAAACCCUGGGAAAUAUUCUUAGUUUUUCUUAUUCCCUCAAGUAGACCCGUGUACUUUGGCUCCAAUAGCCCAUGGCACUUUAUGCAAAAUAUGGUCACUUCUCACCAUGUGCCAUCUACAGGUCAAUUCAAGCCAUCAUCAAGUCGACUCCGACAGCCUGCCGCCCCAUCUCUCUGCCUCUCCCACUGCUGUCCUUACACGGCAGCCAGGGUCUUGAAAGCAUGAAUGACAUCUCUUCCUUGCUCAAAACCCUCCAAAGGCUUUCCAUUGCAAGUGGAAUAAAACUCAGACCUGUUACUACACCCCACGAGGCUCUAUGUGAUCUUGCCUCUCUCCAUUUUCCCCUCGAGCCAGCCUGCCUUCUAUAUGUCAACACGCUAGGCUUAUAGCAACUCAGGGCCUUGCUUAUCUUGAUCCCGUGCCAGGAACCUCUUCCAAUGACAUCUCCCUUCUCAUCAUUGUCUCUUCCUUAGACAGGACUUUCCUAUCCAAGUCUGGCAGAGACUUCUAGUUGUCCUCCAAUAUCUACUCUUCCCUUUUCCCAAAGAAAUGGAACCUCCUAUUUUUAGCUGAGUCCGUAAUCGGCCAGUCUCCCUUAAACUGGUUAUUGCUACUGGCCAAUGCAAUAUAAGAAGAAACAUAACAUGGCAGUUUCCAGAAACCAUUCUUAAAAGAUUAUUGGCACAUACCUUUGCCUUUUAUUCAUUCUGCUGGCUGGCAUGUGACAUGAUGGCUGGAUCUGGAGCAGCCAUCUUAGACCAUGAGGUAAACUUAGAAAUGGAGGCUGUGCACAGCAGAGCAACAGAAUAGAAGGAGCCUGAAUCACUGAGGAUUUCAUGGAGUGCAAUGACCACAACAGACCUGGGUUACUCGCUUCUGGCCUUCUACUUGAGAGAGAAAUAAACUUUUAUCUUGUUUAAACCACUGUUAUUUUGGAUCCUGUUAUCAACUUAAUUCUAAUUGAUAGACUAACCUGGCUAAGGCAGCCUUCUUUUAUAUUUAUCUGUAUUUUUUUCUUCAAAGUACUUAGCACCUGAAAUUACCCUACAUAUUUACUUAUACUUUUAUUUCUUUUUUUAUUGUCUGUCUUCUCCCUUCUGAAAGGUAAACUCCUUGAGGCCAGGGAUCAUCUGACAUUCACUGCUAUAUCCCUUCCCCCUGGAAUACUGCCAUAAUAGGCGCUUCAUAAAUAUUUGUGGGAUGAAUGGGUGAGUGAACACCUACUACGUGCCAGGGAGGGGAGAUACAAAGAUGAUUAGCAUGCUGUUUCCUGAGUCCCUUGCUUGAGAAGCUCACGGUUUCGUGGGGACUGACUUUCUAGUUUGAAGCGGCCAUCAUCCUCAUUGGAUUCAUCUAGAACAGUGGUUCUCAGCCACGGGCAGUUUUGCCCCCCAAGGGACAUUUGUCAAUCUCUGGAAACAUGUUUGAUUGUUACAAGUUGGAAGAUGCUCCCAGAAUCCAGAGACUGGAGCUCAGGGAUGCUGCUAAACAUGCUACCAUGCAGGGGACAGCCCCCACAACAGAGAAUUACUUGGCCCCAAAGGCCAAUAGUGCUGAGGUUGAGAAACCAUGACCCAGCAAAGGUCAAUGCCAAUUAGAUCUGCCGGGGGCGGGGGGGAACUGUUCGGGCUGCACGUGCCAUGGGGCCUCUGUUGUUGUUAGUGAGUGUGCCGGAUUAAACCCCAAGUAGAGGUCAGCUGAGUUGUCAAAUUCUGCAAAGCUCUCUCAUGGAGAGGCCAACCCCAACCAUGAUCCUUUACUUGUCUCGUGGUCCAUGUUCUGAGGACAAUGUGAACUUGGAACAGGUAAAAUUCUGUCCAGGACUCUAGAAACCAAGCCAGAGAAGCUCUCCAAACAGUAUCAUCAUUGAUAUGAAGAACUCCAACGUGAAUCUUCACUUCACCUGUUUUCCUUGGGAAGGCUGAGAGACCUCACGCCGCACUGCUCUCUGCUGUCAUAAAUCUCUUCUCUAUUUCUGUUUGGGUGAAAGGAGCGUAUCUACUUUCACGGUCCUCCUGCAAAAUGUAAUUUUCUCUUGCAGAUAAACAAAUGAUAGAUGAGGGUAGUCUACCGGACCGGAGAUUAUGGAGGUGAUGGUCCUGGGCCACUUCCUAUUUUAACUAUUAGGGUUUUUUUUGUUUGGUUUGGGUUUUUUUUUAGCUUUCCAGUUUGUUAGACACUGAUGCGCUUGGUGACCUUGGCAGGACACUUCAUCUCCCUGAGCCUCAGUUUCCUCAUCAGCAGACUCAGGGAGCUGGAUCAGGCCAUGGCUUAAUGGUCUUCUACUCUAAAUAACCACAAUGAUUCACUUAUCACCUGCUACCAGCAGAAAAUUGAUGGUGACACAUGCCUGGGUUUGAAGAAAUAAAUUUGAAAAUAAAGGAAAGACUAUGGUGAUUUGUAGCAUCAAUGUUCCCCGCCACACCCCUCCCGAUUUUCAAAAAUAAAACAUCAGCAUUAAUCUUUGGAACAGCAGUUCCUAAGAUAUGUUUCUUAGAACAUAGCUCCUUAAGAUAUUAAAAUGGGACUCUAUGUCAAAAAAGUUGGACAGCAGGGGCUGGCCCCCUGGCCGAGUGGUUAGGUUCGCGCGCUCUGCUGCAAGCGGCCCAGUGUUUCGUUGGUUCGAAUCCUGGGCGUGGACAUGGCACUGCUCAUCAAACCACGCUGAGGCAGCGUCCCACAUGCCACAACUAGAAGGACGCACAACGAAGAAUAUACAACUAUGUACUGGGGGGCUUUGGGGAGAAAAAGGAAAAAAUAAAAUCUUUUAAAAAAAAAAAACAAAGUUGGACAGC